UACGUAGGGGGCAAGCGUUGUCCGGAAUCAUUGGGCGUAAAGCGCGUGUAGGCGGCUCGGUAAGUCUGCUGUGAAAGUCCAGGGCUCAACCCUGGAAAGCCGGUGGAUACUGUCGGGCUCGAGUCCGGAAGAGGCGAGUGGAACUCCUGGUGUAGCGGUGGAAUGCGCAGAUAUCAGGAAGAACACCAACGGCGAAGGCAGCUCGCUGGGACGUAACUGACGCUGAGACGCGAAAGCGUGGGGAGCAAACAGG
rnacentral:rRNA from 1 species